ensembl:snRNA U6 U6 spliceosomal RNA
GUGCUCACUUCGGCAGCACGUAUACUAAAAUUGUAACAAUACAGAGAUGAUUAGUAUGGCCCCUGCAAGGAUGACAUGCAAAUUCGUGAAGCAUUCCAUAUUAAA